GAAUGCUGUCAAAUCACGAGAAACAAUGAAUGAAAAGAAGUGGAAAGUAAACAACUUGUAAAUACUGCCCAAACUUUAUGUUUCAUUGUGCUCUGUGGAUCUAAGAGUCAGCCCCCUGACAAACACUGCAUGUUUGCAACCAUCCCUGGCCAAAGCCUGAAACUGUAAGUGAAGGAAAGACUGAGUGGAAAAGGAGCAAAGCCUGCAGGAUCUGCCCAUCAGCCUAUCCUGAGGAGCACUGCAUGCUGCCUCUGUCUCCAUUUUUUGAUACCAGGGAAGAAAUACUUAGGAUGGGGAGAAUCCUCAGCAAAAAUACAAGGACGUGCUAAAUGCCCUCAGGCUCUCGCUGAAGGUUCACUUGAAACCCCGCAUCAUGAAUCUGAGGAGAUUUGUAACAAAAGGUAAAAGAAGGAAACAAACAACAGAAAGACAAUGACUGGAUAUGUAGACUUUGGUUCCUGAAGUCCCCGCCUGGCAGGCUGUGAGAAGACACAGACAUACCAAGGACGAAACAACUACUUUGAAGCAGACCCUCCAGCAGUGUGGAGCAGCUCCAGCAGCUCCCAGGGCUGGCGCACAGCACACAGCACACAGAGCAACCAGAGCCACCACUGCAAAGUGCUGCACAUCAGCCACAACCUGCUGCCCUCUGUGCUCGCCCCAGAUACAACACAAACACAAGACUAACUCCAAGAUGGCAAAGGGAAAGGAAAAUUAACAACGAAAUAAAGACUGUGGAUUAUUAUUUUUACCA
rnacentral:lncRNA from 1 species